AGAGUUGAUCAUGGCUCAGGAUGAACGCUAGCGACAGGCUUAACACAUGCAAGUCGAGGGGCAGCAUAGAAGUAGCAAUACUUGGUGGCGACCGGCGCACGGGUGAGUAACGCGUAUGCAACCUACCUAUCAGAGGGGAAUAACCCGGCGAAAGUCGGACUAAUACCGCAUAAAACAGGGGCACCGCAUGGUGAUAUUUGUUAAAGAAAUUCGCUGAUAGAUGGGCAUGCGUUCCAUUAGGUAGUUGGUGAGGUAACGGCUCACCAAGCCGACGAUGGAUAGGGGAACUGAGAGGUUGGUCCCCCACACUGGUACUGAGACACGGACCAGACUCCUACGGGAGGCAGCAGUGAGGAAUAUUGGUCAAUGGGCGGGAGCCUGAACCAGCCAAGUCGCGUGAAGGAAGAAGGAUCUAUGGUUCGUAAACUUCUUUUGCAGGGGAAUAAAGUGCAGGACGUGUCCUGUUUUGUAUGUACCCUGAGAAUAAGGAUCGGCUAACUCCGUGCCAGCCGCCGC
rnacentral:rRNA from 1 species